UGCCAGCAGCCGCGGUAAUACGAAAGGGGCAAGCGUUGUUCGGAAUUACUGGGCGUAAAGCGCACGUAGGCGGACUGGAAAGUUGGGGGUGAAAUCCCAGGGCUCAACCCUGGAACUGCCUCCAAAACUAUCAGUCUAGAGUUCGAGAGAGGUGAGUGGAAUUCCGAGUGUAGAGGUGAAAUUCGUAGAUAUUCGGAGGAACACCAGUGGCGAAGGCGGCUCACUGGCUCGAUACUGACGCUGAGGUGCGAAAGUGUGGGGAGCAAACAGGAUUAGAUA
rnacentral:rRNA from 1 species